AUUGAACGCUGGCGGCAGGCCUAACACAUGCAAGUCGAGCGGCAGCGGAAAGUAGCUUGCUACUUUGCCGGCGAGCGGCGGACGGGUGAGUAAUGUCUGGGAAACUGCCUGAUGGAGGGGGAUAACUACUGGAAACGGUAGCUAAUACCGCAUAACGUUGCAAGACCAAAGAGGGGGACCUUCGGGCCUCUUGCCAUCAGAUGUGCCCAGAUGGGAUUAGCUAGUAGGUGAGGUAACGGCUCACCUAGGCGACGAUCGCUAGCUGGUCUGAGAGGAUGACCAGCCACACUGGAACUGAGACACGGUCCAGACUCCUACGGGAGGCAGCGGUGGGGAAUAUUGCACAAUGGGCGCAAGCCUGAUGCAGCCAUGCCGCGUGUAUGAAGAAGGCCUUCGGGUUGUAAAGUACUUUCAGCGGGGAGGAAGGCGAUAAGGUUAAUAACCUUGUCGAUUGACGUUACCCGCAGAAGAAGCACCGGCUAACUCCGUGCCAGCAGCCGCCGUAAGAC
rnacentral:rRNA from 1 species